rnacentral:rRNA from 1 species
UACAGAGGGUGCGAGCGUUAAUCGGAAUUACUGGGCGUAAAGCGUGCGCAGACGGUCAUGUAAGUCGGGUGUGAAAGCCCCGGGCUCAACCCAGGAAGUGCACUCGAAACUGUCAGGCUUGAAUAUGGAAGAGGGUCGCGGAAUUCCCGGUGUAGAGGUGAAAUUCGUAGAUAUCGGGAGGAACACCAGUGGCGAAGGCGGCGACCUGGGCCAAUAUUGACGCUGAGGUGCGAAAGCGUGGGGAGCAAACAGGG